rnacentral:rRNA from 1 species
UACGGGGGGAGCAAGCGUUGUUCGGAUUUACUGGGCGUAAAGGGCGCGUAGGCGGCCAGCGCAAGUCAGUUGUGAAAUCUCCGGGCUUAACUCGGAACGGUCAACUGAUACUGCGCGGCUAGAGUGCAGAAGGGGCAACUGGAAUUCUCGGUGUAGCGGUGAAAUGCGUAGAUAUCGAGAGGAACACCUGCGGCGAAGGCGGGUUGCUGGGCUGACACUGACGCUGAGGCGCGAAAGCUAGGGGAGCGAACGGG